UAGGGAAUAUUGGACAAUGGGUGAGAGCCUGAUCCAGCCAUGCCGCGUGCAGGAAGAAGGCGUUAUGCGUUGUAAACUGCUUUUUGCCAGGGGAUAAAAUGACCGUGCGCGGUUAAUUGAAGGUACCUGGUGAAUAAGCCACGGCUAACUACGUGCCAGCAGCCGCGGUAAUACGUAGGUGGCAAGCGUUGUCCGGAUUUAUUGGGUUUAAAGGGUGCGUAGGUGGCCCUGUAAGUCAGUGGUGAAAUAUCUCAGCUUAACUGAGAGGGUGCCAUUGAUACUGCAGGGCUUGAGUACAGAUGAGGUAGGCGGAAUUGACGGUGUAGCGGUGAAAUGCAUAGAUAUCGUCAAGAACACCGAUAGCGAAGGCAGCUUACCAAGCUGUAACUGACACUGAGGCACGAAAGUGUGGGGAUCAAACAGGAUUAGAUACCCAUGUAGUCCCUGAGCGGGCUGGCAAGGCGCAU
rnacentral:rRNA from 1 species